ACUGAUGAUGUGCUGUCCAAAUUUAUGAGGUGUAGAAAGUUCAAGACCCUGUUUAUCAGGGAGAACCUCCUUGGACUACUGCAUCCAAAUGAUAUUAUUGGACUUUCCUGAGGC